rnacentral:rRNA from 1 species
GGUGGCGUGCUUUAACACAUGCAAGUCGAACGGUAACAGGAAGCAGCUUGCUGCUUUGCUGACGAGUGGCGGACGGGUGAGUAAUGUCUGGGAAACUGCCUGAUGGAGGGGGAUAACUACUGGAAACGGUGGCUAAUACCGCAUAACGUCGCAAGACCAAAGAGGGGGACCUUCGGGCCUCUUGCCAUCAGAUGUGCCCAGAUGGGAUUAGCUUGUUGGUGAGGUAACGGCUCACCAAGGCGACGAUCCCUAGCUGGUCUGAGAGGAUGACCAGCCACACUGGAACUGAGACACGGUCCAGACUCCUACGGGAGGCAGCAGUGGGGAAUAUUGCACAAUGGGCGCAAGCCUGAUGCAGCCAUGCCGCGUGUAUGAAGAAGGCCUUCGGGUUGUAAAGUACUUUCAGCGGGGAGGAAGGUGUUGUGGUUAAUAACCGCAGCAAUUGACGUUACCCGCAGAAGAAGCACCGGCUAACUCCG